rnacentral:rRNA from 1 species
CCUACGGGAGGCAGCAGUGGGGAAUUUUCCGCAAUGGGCGAAAGUCUGACGGAGCAACGCCGCGUGAGGGAUGAAGGCCUCUGGGCUGUAAACCUCUUUUAUCAAGGAAGAAGAUCUGACGGUACUUGAUGAAUAAGCCACGGCUAAUUCCGUGCCAGCAGCCGCGGUAAUACGGGAGUGGCAAGCGUUAUCCGGAAUUAUUGGGCGUAAAGCGUCCGCAGGCGGUCUUGUAAGUCUGUCGUUAAAGCGUGGAGCUCAACUCCAUUUCGGCGGUGGAAACUACAAGACUAGAGUGUGGUAGGGGCAGAGGGAAUUCCCGGUGUAGCGGUGAAAUGCGUAGAUAUCGGGAAGAACACCAGUGGCGAAGGCGCUCUGCUGGGCCAUAACUGACGCUCAUGGACGAAAGCUAGGGGAGCGAAAGGGAUUAGAUACCCCGGUAGUCCUAGCCGUAAACGAUGAACACUAGGUGUCGGGGGAAUCGACCCCCUCGGUGUCGUAGCUAACGCGUUAAGUGUUCCGCCUGGGGAGUACGCACGCAAGUGUGAAACUUAAAGGAAUUGACGGCUGNGAGNGCGAGCGACGACGAGGGAGAGG